AGGAAAAGAAAAGAUACACUGGGUCUUAAUCUUAAGGUCACAUUUUAUGAAUUGAUUCUGCUGGUGUGGAAAACACAGUACAGAUAAUUUGGUGAUUUGCCUCAACUAACCUAAAUCUUUCACUGUGAAUUGAAUUUCCUACAAGAAAAAUUAUCAUCACAGUUUCCAUGUGAUGCAAAACCAAAAGAUAUCAAGUUCAAUAUCACAUUGUAUAUCUAUCUUUAAGUGUAAAGAAUUGACAUAUGUGUUAUGCACAUGCACAGGGGCAGAACUAGGUGAGGGCUUGAGAGGGCCUUGGCGGCCCCCAAAAAAAAAAAAA
rnacentral:misc_RNA from 1 species